CCUUACAACAAAAUAACAGUUCUAAAAAAAAUACUAUGUAGUCAAGAAAAUAUAAUUUUUAAGCAGAGUCAGGCCUGAUUAGUACUUGGAUGGGAGACCACCUAGGAAGGCCAGGUGCUGUAGGUG
rnacentral:rRNA from 1 species